UUCUUUAUAGCAUAAUGGUUAUUGUGUCAAACUCAUAUUUUGAUAGUAUCGGUUCAAUUCCGAUUAAAGAAA
rnacentral:tRNA from 1 species